UACGGGGGGGGCAAGCGUUGUUCGGAAUUACUGGGCGUAAAGGGUUCGUAGGUGGCCAACUAAGUCAGACGUGAAAUCCCUCAGCUUAACUGGGGAACUGCGUCUGAGACUGGAUGGCUUGAGUGCAGGAGAGGAACGCGGAAUUCCAGGUGUAGCGGUGAAAUGCGUAGAUAUCUGGAGGAACACCGGUGGCGAAGGCGGCGUUCUGGACUGCAACUGACACUGAGGAACGAAAGCCAGGGGAGCAAACGGG
rnacentral:rRNA from 2 species